UUAUUGCGGUGACUAAUUUUAUUUGGUGUUUGAUUCCAAACAAAUAAACUUGACUUGCUUCGUCUUGUCUCUUAUGUAAAGAUGAGAAGAAGGAGAGCUGUGAAUGGGAGAAAAAGGUUCUGAAGAGAAGACUUUCUGAAUCGGCAAUCGAAAUAGAGAGACAGAGAAUGAAAUGCUUUCCAUGAAUUCAAUGGUGAGAAAUGUCUUACAAUGAAUUUUAAUGUUUCUUCUUAUUGCUUCCCCAACCAAAAAUCUUGUAAAUUUUCCCAUUAAUAUGUAUCACAUAUUGAGAUUAAGUUUGAAAGGGCUGUAGCAUCUUCUAUGGAAAAUAUUCAGUAAAUUAUAAAUAUGCACUGUCAACAAAAUGAAUUCA